CGAAGAUUAAAAAGAGUGAUUUGAUGUAAGCAAAGAUGUGUUAUGACAAAAAUCCAUUCUGACGUGAAAUCCCUCCCACCAAAAAGAGCAAACACUUCAUGCCUACUCCCCUUUCUAUGUAAUCACAGGAAAAAU
ensembl:ncRNA C56G3.4 ncRNA